AACGAACGCUGGCGGCAGGCCUAACACAUGCAAGUCGAACGCUCCAGCAAUGGAGAGUGGCAGACGGGUGAGUAACGCGUGGGAACCUUCCCUAUGGUUCGGAAUAGCUCAGGGAAACUUGAGGUAAUACCGGAUAAGCCCUUCGGGGAAAGAUUUAUCGCCAUUGGAUGGGCCCGCGUAGGAUUAGCUAGUUGGUGAGGUAACGGCUCACCAAGGCGACGACUCCUUAGCUGGUCNGAGAGGAUGAUCAGCCACACGUGGGACUGAGACACGGCCCAGACUCCUACGGGAGGCAGCAGGUGGGGAAUCUUGCGCAAUGGGCGAAAGCCUGACGCAGCGACGCCGCGUGAGGAU
rnacentral:rRNA from 1 species